GACGAACGCUGGCGGCGUGCUUAACACAUGCAAGUCGAACGGUAAGGCUCCAGCUUGCUGGGGUACACGAGUGGCGAACGGGUGAGUAACACGUGGGUGACCUGCCCUGCACUUCGGGAUAAGCCUGGGAAACUGGGUCUAAUACCGGAUAGGACCAUGGUGUGGAUACUGUGGUGGAAAGUUUUUUCGGUGUGGGAUGGGCCCGCGGCCUAUCAGCUUUUUGGUGGGGUAAUGGCCUACCAAGGCGGCGACGGGUAGCCGGCCUGAGAGGGUGGACGGCCACAUUGGGACUGAGACACGGCCCAGACUCCUACGGGAGGCAGCAGUAGGGAAUAUUGCACAAUGGGCGGAAGCCUGAUGCAGCGACGCCGCGUGGGGGAUGACGGCCUUCGGGUUGUAAACUCCUUUCACCAUCGACGAAGGGUUUCUGACGGUAGAUGGAGAAGAAGCACCGGCUAACUACGUG
rnacentral:rRNA from 1 species